rnacentral:rRNA from 1 species
GACGAACGCUGGCGGCGUGCCUAAUACGUGCAAGUAGAACGCUGAAGGAGGAGCUUGCUUCUCUGGAUGAGUUGCGAACGGGUGAGUAACGCGUAGGUAACCUGCCUGGUAGCGGGGGAUAACUAUUGGAAACGAUAGCUAAUACCGCAUAAUAGUAGAUGUUGCAUGACAUUUGCUUAAAAGGUGCAAUUGCAUCACUACCAGAUGGACCUGCGUUGUAUUAGCUAGUUGGUGAGGUAACGGCUCACCAAGGCGACGAUACAUAGCCGACCUGAGAGGGUGAUCGGCCGCACUGGGACUGAGACACGGCCCAGACUCCUACGGGAGGCAGCAGUAGGGAAUCUUCGGCAAUGGACGGAAGUCUGACCGAGCAACGCCGCGUGAGUGAAGAAGGUUUUCGGAUCGUAAAGCUCUGUUGUAAGAGAAGAACGAGUGUGGGAGUGGAAAGUUCACACUGUGACGGUAGCUUACCAGAAAGGGACGGCUAACUACGUG